UACGUAGGUGGCAGGCGUUGUCCGGAAUUAUUGGGCGUAAAGCGCGCGCAGGCCGUCCUUUAAGUCUGAUGUGAAAGCCCUCGGCUCAACCGAGGAAGGUCAUUGGAAACUGGAGGACUUGAGUGCAGAAGAGGAAAGUGGAAUUCCAAGUGUAGCGGUGAAAUGCGUAGAGAUUUGGAGGAACACCAGUGGCGAAGGCGACUUUCUGGUCUGUAACUGACGCUGAGGCGCGAAAGCGUGGGGAGCAAACAGG
rnacentral:rRNA from 1 species